rnacentral:rRNA from 1 species
UACAGAGGUUCCAAGCGUUGUUCGGAUUCACUGGGCGUAAAGGGUGCGUAGGUGGUCGGGUAAGUCUGAUGUGAAAUCUCUGGGCUCAACCCAGAAAUGGCAUUGGAUACUAUUCGGCUAGAGGAGUGGAGGGGGGACUGGAAUACUUGGUGUAGCAGUGAAAUGCGUAGAUAUCAAGUGGAACACCAGUGGCGAAGGCGAGUCCCUGGACACUUCCUGACACUGAGGCACGAAAGCUAGGGGAGCAAACAGG